GAAUAAGCAUCGGCUAACUCCGUGCCAGCAGCCGCGGUAAGACGGAGGAUGCAAGUGUUAUCCGGAAUCACUGGGCGUAAAGCGUCUGUAGGUGGUUUAAUAAGUCAACUGUUAAAUMUUGAGGCUCAACNUNNAAAUCGCAGUCGAAACUAUUAAACUAGAGUAUAGUAGRGGUAAAGGGAAUUUCCAGUGUAGCGGUGAAAUGCGUAGAGAUUGGAAAGAACACCGAUGGCGAAGGCACUUUACUGGGCUAUA
rnacentral:rRNA from 1 species